UCUAGGUGAAUUAAUUUGGCGUCAACAAUGUGCGAAAUUUAAUACCAAAUGGACGUAAUACAGUUAUUGUUAUGGAAAAGACCAAACUUGAAUAUAUUAGGCUCAUGUGUCAAAUGAAAAUGACUGGAGCAAUUUGUAAGCAGUCUAUUCUUGGAAGGAUUUUAUGAUAUUAUGCUUAAACGACCAAUUUUCAUAUUUAAUGAACAAGAACUUGAACUAUUGAUCGGUGGCUUGCUUACUGUAAAUAUCUUAAAGGAGGAUCUUAAAGCAAAUAUUGAGUAUCAUAAAUACACUGCUACGUCUUUAUAGUUUCAAUCAAUUGGAUUUGCCAGUGUACGAGACGUAUGAUAAACUCUGAACAAAUCUACUCAAGGCGACUUACGAAUGCACCAAAGAAUUUGGAUUUGCAUAAGCUUACCAGAAUUUGCUCCUGUACAAUUUCGAUUUCAAUCGAUACAAUUUCGCGUUCAAUCGAUGAUAUUCUAGAGACCAAACUUAUGGUUGGAUCUUUACAGCCAGUGAUAACAUUCCGGACGUGCAAUGGCCUAUUGCUUGCAAAAUUUUUAACGUACUUACAAAAUUGAUAUACACAAUGUUAUAUGUAAAACUAUCUUGUGAACGUAGCGAAUCACAGUGC